rnacentral:rRNA from 1 species
GACGUAGGGCGCGAGCGUUGUCCGGAUUUAUUGGGCGUAAAGAGCUCGUAGGCGGUUUGGCAAGUCGGGUGUGAAAACUCCGGGCUCAACUCGGAGACGCCACUCGAUACUGCCAUGACUUGAGUCCGGUAGGGGAGUGCGGAAUUCCUGGUGUAGCGGUGAAAUGCUUAGAUAUGACAUAGAACACCCAUUGCGAAGGCAGCUCACUACACAAUGAUUGACGCUGAGGCACGAAAGCGUGGGGAUCAAACAGG